UACAGAGACCCCAAGCAUUAUCCGGAUUUAUUGGGCGUAAAGAGUGUGUAGGCGGCUUUAUUUGUCAGUUGUUAAAACCGGUGGCUCAACCAUCGACCAGCAAUUGAAACGGUAAAGCUAGAGGACGUGAGAGAUCAGUGGAAUUCAUGGUGUAGUAGUGAAAUGCGUUGAUAUCAUGAGGAACAUCCAAGGCGAAGGCAGCUGAUUGGCACGUAUCUGACGCUCUGGCACGAAAGCGUGGGUAGCGAAUGGG
rnacentral:rRNA from 1 species